rnacentral:rRNA from 1 species
UACGUAGGGACCAAGCGUUGUUCGGAUUUACUGGGCGUAAAGGGCACGUAGGCGGCGUGUUAAGUCACUUGUGAAAUCUCUGAGCUUAACUCAGAACGGUCAAGUGAUACUGAUGUGCUAGAGUGCAGAAGGGGCAACCGGAAUUCUUGGUGUAGCGGUGAAAUGCGUAGAUAUCAAGAGGAACACCUGAGGUGAAGACGGGUUGCUGGGCUGACACUGACGCUGAGGCGCGAAAGCUAGGGUAGCAAACGGG